AGAGGUCAAAACUGGAAGCAUGUUUUAAUAUUGCUCUACCGUUAUCUGAAAGGCAUAAAUGGAGUAACACAUCUGAACUGAUCGUAGUUACAGAAUCAUAGGUCUCUCUUUUUGCAUUGAACAAUAUAUACAAUGUAAAAUAAAUACAUUUACACAAAUGGACAUAUUUUUGGAGCACACUGUAUGAUACACGUCACAAAAAUAUACUGGUAACGGAUGUAGGGCACGUCUAGAACUACGGACAUGGUUCUCACUACACAGCGUCCCAGCAACUCCUCGUCGGAAGAUUUAUCCCAUCUUUCUUUUUUUCUCAAUUAUGAUUUUUAUAUGUUUUUAUUUCUCCACCUCAAUUCCUGCUCUACGCUUUUGUCCAUUAGCAGGUCAGACAACCAGGUGUGUUUGGUUGGUAUAAGGUACACCUCAGCUUUAAUAAAUACUGCACUAACACUCACUAUUUUCCUCCUUUUCUUCUCACGCAAAAUAGCAGUUGUUUGUACAUGUCCUUAUUCCCUACCAUUUAAUUGCAAAACAGUCCAAUAGAUACAGCAUUUUGAUCUAAUUCAAACACAAAAGUGCAACAUCUGUCCUUCCGUCUGUUGCUCAGUCAUAUUGCUUUAAACGGCAAAAAACCACAUUGGGAGAAAAAAACGUCCUCGUUCAUUAUGGCUAAAUAACACUCCCCUGUCAAUCUUAAAGAGGAUCCAUAGAAGGUGUUGAAAGAGACAGAGCAAAAUCACAGCGUGAUUUAAGCUGCUAGAAUUAGGUUGGUCGGCCAACGGCGUCCGUGGCAAUGAUUGACACAAGCAGUUUUGGGGUUGUGAGAAUUAUUAUGUGUUGUUACAGUAACUUUGGGGUUAUUGAAGAAUAUUGAACAUUCAAUAAUGUGUAGCUAAUCAGCCUUACUUUGCCGGUAGACUGAUAUGAACAGGUCGACGUUUUACCGCACGACAUGGUGGUUAGAAUUACUAUGCCCUCGUGAUGGUUUAUCACCUACUGGCAAAGGUCGCGUUCAGCUUAAAUCACCUCUUAGAGGUUGUUGCGUUCUCUUUCAGCUCCUUUUAUUGGGCAGUACAUAGUAUUGGUUUGAAAAUGGACAAACAGUUAGACAUAAACAACAACUAAAAACAAAAAACAAAUAGAGAAGAAACAGCACCUUUCUCCCAGGAGUCAUGUAUGGAAAUGAUAGACCAGACAAAAUGUUUCCGACAACAGCUUUCACAUUACUGUCUUCCUCUUUAGUGAAUAUUCAGGUCUUAAUGCAGAACUGCAGAUGAAGCCAAAUCAUAGCGCUUUUCACACUGUCAGAUGUUAACCAAGUUCAAAGUGACACAUAUCUAGCUGCUCUAUUAUAAACUGCCAUUAGAUAUCAAAAUGAAACCACACUUGUCCUUGAAAAACAGCUUUAACAUUCAGAGUGAGUAUGGUUUUCUUUAUAUUCAAUCAGGUCUGAAUUUAGUAAAGUACCUUCAAUAAAGAACUCCAAACCAUGCUCAAUUCCUUCUGUUUAGCCAAUGAUGAAUAGACAAACAGGACAAAGGAAGAAAAGUAAUUAGAAACAAACCCCCCCAUUAGUCCUAGAAAAUAACAACAUUUUAGUCAAUCUUUUUUUUCUUUCUUUUUUUUAGUAAGCACACAAAGUUAAAGCGAGAGUUUUGGAAACAGGUUGAACUUCAAAACAAGACAAAACCUUUUUUUUGUUUGUUUUGAAUUUCCCUUUGCAACCUCAAAAAGUUUAGAUAAUGUUACAACGUAGCUGUUUCUGAAUGGAAGGCAAUAUGUACAGCAGGGUAAUAAAAAAAGUCAGCUAUUGUUCGGAAAUACUCAAAUGUAUUUUUUACUCAUAUUUAUAACCUAACAUAUACAUUGGUAUUCUACAAGAAAGAGUUACAUAAAUUAUCCCUUUUUAUAUAUGUUGUCUUCCUAGAUACUUGUUAUUGAAUUCUACAUCAGUAUAGGUUAUUAUUAUGAUGAUGAUAAUGUUGGAUCAGUUGAUCUAACAGAACCAGCUAGGAAGAAGAGCUAUGUUUCCUGGUAAGUUGGUAGGUAGGUAUGUGAGAACACGCCAGCCUGAUCUCCUGAGGGUCCGUACAUCCACAGCUGUCUCUACUUCUACCCUGUGUCGAAAAAAAAGCGCACAGCACAAGAACUGGAACCACCACGAGAAAGUACACAAUACUGAGUUGAACGCAACAGAAAGAAUAAUAAAGGAAAGGGAAGAAAACUGAAAUAAAAGAAAACAACAAACGGAACAUUUUGAGAAAAAGCACAGCAAACAUGAAACACUGAGAGGCUUAACUACAUUUUUCUGUUUUUGUAUUUUUUUUUUCUUCUUUGUUUUGUUCCAAUAAAAUGUCUUAGGUUAGAAUUAUAAUCUGUUAAUUUACAAUAUACAAUGGUUAAGAAGGUUCAGAAAAUACCCCUUACUAAUAAUACUGACAUAUUCGUUAUAGAGAGUGACGAAGGUUACUUGACUUGUUCUUUAGCUUUUAAACUGGAACCAGUUACCAUUUUAUAUUAGAUUACAUCAUCAUCUAGAUUACGGAUAUUGGCGUUCUUAAUCUGUGUACAAAAACCCUGGACGGAAUCCCAAACGCAUUCUUUCCAUAGGUCCCACCGCUUCCCUAAGUGCUAGUUCAGUGUUAUAUCUCAGCUACAGAUUACUGCUGUUCUUGGUACAAUGGCGUUCUUUAGUGUCAAAUGCAUGAGUUACCUGCUCGCGUCCACAUUCACGGUGCUUCCCUAGCCUUGGGUUAGUUUGAUUCUACGAGUAUGUAAUCUAAUAGCCUAUGGCAAGCGCAGAGAGAGAAGCUACAACUGUUAGAAAUGUUAAUAUCCCCAAUGAAGACUGGCACAAACAUUAAUUGCAUACACGUUAAUAUGCACCCUCCUUUAAAAUGACUAUUGCUCGGAGAAGAUAAAAGUCGAUCCAUAUAUAUUCAUUUAUAAUUGCUGAAAGUGGUAAAGCUGAUAGAAAAAAACAUAUAUUUACUGAUUUCUUAUUAACACAAUAUAAACAGAACAAAAUAAUAAUGUAGACCAUAUAUGAUGACCGAAUCAUAUAUUUACACCCUUAUUUAUUUCAAUAAAAAUAAGACCAAACAAGUGGGAAAACCACAAUAAAUAAACGAGUCCGUCCCAUCAGCACUCCCGUACCUGUCAUAUUGCAUGAGUGACUAAAGCUUCAGUGUCUCCCUGAAAAGGUUCCAAUAAUAAUCAAACCAAUAGGUCAUGCCUACCAGUUCUCUGGAAGACUUAACAGAAAAGGGCAAACAGGGUGUCAGAUGGCUGCAAGUGAUUAAAACCACAAACCCAAAGGGAAGGCUGGGGCGAUGACAACGAUCUGGUACUAGGCUGGCACACUAUGUGUCUGUGUGUGUGUGCGUGUGUGUGUGUGAAUACUGUGGUAAAGCAGGCCAGACUGCAGUGAGUGGGCAAGACUGUUCCUCAGACUGCUCUGGUGCUAGUCAUUAGGGGGCCUGGUGACCCAGUGGGGGUAUCAGUAUUGGGGUCUGACAGUAAAUGCAUCUCCCUCCUUUGGCAGGGCGAGUCUCCUUCGGUACACUUCGUGAAAAUCGUCCACAAAAGUCUUUGUUCAGUUCCUUUUUACUUCUUCAACAGCACGUCCUGUGAAAACUGCGUUGGGAAACUGAGAAGUUGAGAAAGCUUUACAGUAUUUCUUUUACUGAGACGACCAGAGCGGUCACCUUCUUGUCUUCUUUAAAGUCACUGUUUAAACAUUUUCAAUAGUCAAUAAUCACAUUGUUAAUCAUUC
ensembl:lncRNA